UACGAAGGGUGCAAGCGUUACUCGGAAUUACUGGGCGUAAAGCGUGCGUAGGUGGUUCGUUAAGUCUGAUUGUGAAAGCCCGUGGGACUCAACCUGGGAAUGGCAUUGGAUACUGGCGAUCUAGAGUGCGGUAGAGGGCAGUGGAAUUCCCGGUGUAGCAGUGAAAUGCGUAGAGAUCGGGAGGAACAUCUGUGGCGAAGGCGGCAUCCUGGACCGACAUUGACGCUGAACGGCGAAAGCUAGGGGAGCGAAACGGG
rnacentral:rRNA from 1 species